UGGGGGAUAUUGCACAAUGGGCGAUAGCCUGAUGCAGCGACGCCGCGUGGGGGAUGAAGGCCUUCGGGUUGUAAACUUCUUUUGCUCUGAACAAGGCAUGCCUUUGGGGUGUGUUGAGUGUAGGGGUUGAUUAGCGCCGGCUAACUACGUGCCAGCAGCCGCGGUAAUACGUAGGGCGCGAGCGUUGUCCGGAAUUAUUGGGCGUAAAGGGCUUGUAGGUGGCUGGUUGCGUCUGUCGUGAAAGCUCAUGGCUUAACUGUGGGUUUGCGGUGGGUACGGGCUGGCUUGAGUGCAGUAGGGGGGGCUGGAAUUCCUGGUGUAGCGGUGGAAUGCGCAGAUAUCAGGAGGAAUACCGGUGGCGAAGGCGGGUCUCUGGGCUGUUACUGACGCUGAGGAGCGAAAGCGUGGGGAGCGAACAGG
rnacentral:rRNA from 1 species